UGGGGAAUUUUGGACAAUGGGCGAAAGCCUGAUCCAGCAAUGCCGCGUGUGUGAAGAAGGCCUUCGGGUUGUAAAGCACUUUUGUCCGGAAAGAAAUCCUUGGCUCUAAUACAGUCGGGGGAUGACGGUACCGGAAGAAUAAGCACCGGCUAACUACGUGCCAGCAGCCGCGGUAAUACGUAGGGUGCAAGCGUUAAUCGGAAUUACUGGGCGUAAAGCGUGCGCAGGCGGUUUGCUAAGACCGAUGUGAAAUCCCCGGGCUCAACCUGGGAACUGCAUUGGUGACUGGCAGGCUAGAGUAUGGCAGAGGGGGGUAGAAUUCCACGUGUAGCAGUGAAAUGCGUAGAGAUGUGGAGGAAUACCGAUGGCGAAGGCAGCCCCCUGGGCCAAAUACUGACGCUCAUGCACGAAAAGCGUGGGGAGCAAACAGGAUUAGAUACCCUGGUAGUCCACGCCCUAAAACGAUGUCAACUAGUUGUUGGGGAUUCAUUUCCUUAGUAACGUAGCUAAACGCGUGAAGUUGACCGCCUGGGGAGUACGGUCGCAAAGAUUAAAACUCAAAUGAAUUGACGGGGUCAUAGCUGUUUCCU
rnacentral:rRNA from 1 species